UCUCCGUUGGUGAACCAGCGGAGGGAUCAUUAGCGAGUUUACGCACUCCAAACCCACUGUGAACAGUUCCACGUUGCUUCGGCGGGCGGCCCCUCGGGGUCACGUCGCCCCUCGUUAGGGGUGCCCGCCAGAAGACCGACCAAACUCGUUUUCUUUUAGUGGACAUUCUGAGUAUAAGCUUCUAAACAGACAAAACUUUCAACAACGGAUCUCUUGGUUCUGGCAUCGAUGAAGAACGCAGC
rnacentral:misc_RNA from 1 species